rnacentral:rRNA from 1 species
CAGCAGUAGCCGCGGUAAUACGUAGGUGGCAAGCGUUGUCCGGAAUUAUUGGGCGUAAAGGGCUCGCAGGCGGUUUCUUAAGUCUGAUGUGAAAGCCCCCGGCUCAACCGGGGAGGGUCAUUGGAAACUGGGAAACUUGAGUGUAGAAGAGGAGAGUGGAAUUCCACGUGUAGCGGUGAAAUGCGUAGAGAUGUGGAGGAACACCAGUGGCGAAGGCGACUCUCUGGUCUGUAACUGACGCUGAGGAGCGAAAGCGUGGGGAGCGAACAGGAUUAGAUACCCGUGUAGUCCCUGUCUCUUAUAC